CGCGGAGGCCGGCACGGAGGCCGAUGUGGAGGCGCGCGGCCAGCCGCCCGUGCGGCCGCUCGAAACAGACUGAACGCCAAUUGCCUGCCCUGGAGGAGCUGCUCUUACCCUCGAGGAGACAGUUUUGCUCUUUUAGGAAGUCCCUGGGCCGGCCUGACGUGCGCCUCAGGAGCAGGACGUGGUGUUGAAGCGCUGCCGUGAACGGGACCUUUGAGCA